AGUCCCUUGGAACGGGGCGUCGCAGAGGGUGAGAGUCCCGUACGUGACCGGCGACCGAGUCCAUGUGAAACUCCUUCGACGAGUCGAGUUGUUUGGGAAUGCAGCUCAAAAUGGGUGGUAAAUUUCAUCUAAAGCUAAAUACCGGCCAGAGACCGAUAGCGCACAAGUAGAGUGAUCGAAAGAUGAAAAGCACUUUGGAAAGAGAGUCAAACAGUACGUGAAAUUGUUGAAAUGGAAGCGCUUGCAGCCAGACCUGCCCGCGGGUGAUCAGCCGUCCUUCUGGGCGGUGCACUCGCCCGCGAUCAGGCCAGCAUCGGUUCGGGCGGCCGGAUAAAGGCCCUGGGAACGUAGCUCCCCUCGGGGAGUGUUAUAGCCCUCGGCGCAAUGCGGCCCGCCCGGACCGAGGACCGCGCUUCGGCUAGGAUGCUGGCGUAAUGGCUGUAAGCGGCCCGUCUUGAAACACGGACCAAGGAGUCUAACAUCUAUGCGAGUGUUUGGGUGUCAAACCCAUGCGCGGAAUGAAAGUGAACGGAGGUGGGAGCCCUUCGCGGGGCGCACCAUCGACCGAUCCAGAUGUCUUCGGAUGGAUUUGAGUACGAGCAUAGCUGUUGGGACCCGAAAGAUGGUGAACUAUGCCUGAAUAGGGUGAAGCCAGAGGAAACUCUGGUGGAGGCUCGCAGCGGUUCUGACGUGCAAAUCGAUCGUCAAAUUUGGGCAUAGGGGCGAAAGACUAAUCGAACCAUC
rnacentral:rRNA from 1 species